AAACAAUNUNCAGCAACGGGAUNUUGGUGAAUUGCAGNAAUUCCGCGAAUCAUCGAGUCUUUGAACGCAAGUUGCGCCCGAGCUUGUCCGAGGGCAUUUCCGCUAGAGCGUCACC
rnacentral:rRNA from 1 species